rnacentral:rRNA from 1 species
UACGUAGGUGGCAAGCGUUGUCCGGAUUUACUGGGCGUAAAGAGCGCGCAGGCGGUCGUUCAAGUCGCGUGUGAAAGCCCCCGGCUCAACUGGGGAGGGUCACGCGAUACUGAUCGACUCGAAGGCAGGAGAGGGAAGUGGAAUUCCCGGUGUAGUGGUGAAAUGCGUAGAUAUCGGGAGGAACACCGGUGGCGAAGGCGACUUCCUGGCCUGUUCUUGACGCUGAGGCGCGAAAGCUAGGGGAGCAAACGGG